GACGAACGCUGGCGGCGUGCUUAACACAUGCAAGUCGAACGGAAAGGCCCUGCUUUUGUGGGGUGCUCGAGUGGCGAACGGGUGAGUAACACGUGAGUAACCUGCCCUUGACUUUGGGAUAACUUCAGGAAACUGGGGCUAAUACCGGAUAGGAUCUCCUGCUGCAUGGUGGGGGUUGGAAAGUUUCGGCGGUUGGGGAUGGACUCGCGGCUUAUCAGCUUGUUGGUGGGGUAGUGGCUUACCAAGGCUUUGACGGGUAGCCGGCCUGAGAGGGUGACCGGCGACAUUGGGACUGAGAUACGGACCAGACGCCUACGGGAGGCAGCAGGGGGGAAUAUUGCACAAUGGGCGGAAGCCUGAUGCAGAAACGCCGCGUGCGGGAUGACGGCCUUCGGGGUGUAAACCGCUUUCGCCUGUGACGAAGCGUGAGUGACGGUAAUGGGUAAAGAAGCACCGGCUAACUACGUG
rnacentral:rRNA from 1 species